GACGAACGCUGGCGGCGUGCUUAACACAUGCAAGUCGAACGGUAAGGCCCUUCGGGGUACACGAGUGGCGAACGGGUGAGUAACACGUGGGUGAUCUGCCCUGCACUUUGGGAUAAGCCUGGGAAACUGGGUCUAAUACCGAAUAUGACCAUGGACUUCACGGUUUGUGGUGGAAAGCUUUUGCGGUGUGGGAUGGGCCCGCGGCCUAUCAGCUUGUUGGUGGGGUAAUGGCCUACCAAGGCGACGACGGGUAGCCGGCCUGAGAGGGUGACCGGCCACACUGGGACUGAGAUACGGCCCAGACUCCUACGGGAGGCAGCAGUGGGGAAUAUUGCACAAUGGGCGCAAGCCUGAUGCAGCGACGCCGCGUGGGGGAUGACGGCCUUCGGGUUGUUAACCGUACUUUCUACCAGGACGAAGCGAGAGUGACGGUACCUCGGAGAGAAGGACGGCC
rnacentral:rRNA from 1 species